UACGUAGGGCGCAAGCGUUGUCCGGAGUUACUGGGCGUAAAGGGCGUGUAGGCGGUAUGCUAAGUCUGGCGUGAAAGCUCUCGGCUAAACCGGGAGAGGUCGUUUGAUACUGGCAAACUAGAGGAUGGUAGAGGCGUGUGGAAUUCCGGGUGUAGUGGUGAAAUGCGUAGAGAUCGGGAGGAACACCCGUGGCGAAGGCGGCCAGCUGGGGUGCACCUGACACUGAGGCGCGAAGGCGUGGGGAGCGAACGGG
rnacentral:rRNA from 1 species